GACACUUGCCUGGGAGCAGAAUGAAGGCGAUGGCGUGCUGUGCUGGACGAACGACGCUGCCUCCUCUUGCUCUGUUUUUUUCUUUGCUUUCUUUAUUUCCUGGUUUGCUUCUUUUCGUUCCCACCCUGUAUAACCUCUGUAUAUUCUCUCCUUCCUCCUCCUGUUCGUUCGUCUCCUCUCUGCUUCUAGUUUCGUUUUAGAGAUGAAGGAACGAAGAUGGUGAUGAUACCGGUUCCCUCUGUUUUUCCCCAGUUUUUCUUCAGUUUUUUUUCUCCCUGCGCUCUCUCAUCUUCUCUGGCUUUAUAGCCAGAGAAUGCCAAGUAUUUGAAACGGCUUCCAUCCUUUACUCCAGCAACGGCUCCUGAGGAGGAAGACGAAGAAGGCGAUUAACAAAUUCUAAAAACGGCGCCGUUUGUGUGAUGGGAAUAGCCAUUUUCAAUCUGGUCACUGAAGUUCUGAAAUCGUGUAAUCAAGUCCCUGGGUAAAUUGUAAUUGGACCCCUGUAUUUCCGUGCUUUUUACAAGCUAGUCCUUGGACUUUAAUCUGCUGCAAUUUUGCACCCAAUUAGCCCCAAACUUUGGUAUUUCUUCAA